rnacentral:piRNA from 1 species
UGGGAUUAAAGUCAUAUGCCACCACGGC